AUUGAACGCUGGCGGCAUGCUUUACACAUGCAAGUCGAACGGUAACAGGGUGCUUGCACCGCUGACGAGUGGCGAACGGGUGAGUAAUGCGUCGGAACGUGCCGAGUAGUGGGGGAUAACGCAUCGAAAGGUGUGCUAAUACCGCAUACGUACUGAGGUAGAAAGUGGGGGGCCUUCGGGCCUCACGCUAUUCGAGCGGCCGACGUCUGAUUAGCUAGUUGGUGAGGUAAAGGCUCACCAAGGCGACGAUCCGUAGCGGGUCUGAGAGGAUGCUCCGCCACACUGGGACUGAGACACGGCCCAGACUCCUACGGGAGGCAGCAGUGGGGAAUUUUGGACAAUGGGCGCAAGCCUGAUCCAGCCAUGCCGCGUGUCUGAAGAAGGCCUUCGGGUUGUAAAGGACUUUUGUCCGGGAGCAAAUGCUGGUGGCUAACAUCCACCGGAGCUGAGAGUACCGGAAGAAUAAGCACCGGCUAACUACGUGCCAGCCGCCGCGGUAAUAC
rnacentral:rRNA from 1 species